UACGUAGGGGGCAAGCGUUGUCCGGAUUUAUUGGGCGUAAAGAGCGUGUAGGCGGCCAUACAGGUCAGCUGUGAAAACUCGAGGCUCAACCUCGAGACGUCGGUUGAAACCGUAUGGCUAGAGUCCGGAAGAGGAGAGUGGAAUUCCCGGUGUAGCGGUGAAAUGCGCAGAUAUCGGGAAGAACACCCGUGGCGAAGGCGGCUCUCUGGGACGGUACUGACGCUGAGACGCGAAAGCGUUGGGGAGCGAACAGG
rnacentral:rRNA from 1 species